rnacentral:lncRNA from 10 species
GCCGUGACAUGAUUAAUCGUUUUCUUCUGAUCUAAUUUUGGAACAUGAAAAACAGCACAUUUGUCUUGAAGAAAAAUGAUGUGCCGAACUGCGCAGAUGGAAAUUUCGAGCAAUGAGAAAGAUUAAAGUGAAACCCCACUCCUUAGACCUAAUCAUGAGUUGUAGAUUAUUCUGUCGGCCCAGCCAGAUGGUAGCUCUGAUUCCACAGCCCCUUCUUAUAUUAAUGAAUACUCGACUGUUAUAUUUGACUUAGGCUUCUCAUCUGUAACUGGUGAAGCCCGGAAGAGCUUGUUGUUCAAGAGGAAAUCUUGUGUUACUUCUUUAUGAAGGACUCCAGCCUGGUGGAGAUGAAUGAGUCCUGAAGAUGGAAUCGAAGCUGUUUGGGCACAAACAAGGUUUCACUCUUGUUGCCCAGGCUGGAGUGCAAUGGUGUGAUCUAGGCUCACUGCAACCUCCACCUCCCGGGUUCAAGUGAUUCUCCUGUCUCAGGCUCCCAAGUAGGUGGGAUUACAGUACUUUAAUCAGCAUUUAAUGACCCAGUCGAAAAUUCAUUGUUUGGACCCAAGCACUGGUGGGAAAGGCAGGAGGGGAGGCCUGCCUUCCUUCCUCCCUCCCGAGCCCUACAGCAGGCCAUGGAGUGGUGAGCGAGUUCGUACAGUGCCAACCACAUUCCCAGAAACUUCCAGCAGAGGUUAAUCCUGCUCCUCUCAGGAAAAAGUGAUUCAGCUCCGGUCCACCCUGGGUGCAGCGGUCCUUCUGCCAAGAUGCCUUCAUAUCAUACAGCUAUUAUUUUCGGGAGGAUUCCAAGUGAGGGCAGUCAGGGUGGGCUUGGCCCAUUCUCUAGACUUUGGAAGGUAAUGUUCUAUAGAGGCCUGUUCUGAAGCUUUACCAGGUCAAACCGGAGAAGAACCCAACAAGUAACUCAUCCCAGCCUAACUAUUCUUCAAGGGCAAUCAACCUACAGCAUCCAAGCACAGAGAAAUCAAAUCCAUGGAGAAUCUUCAAAUUAGGCUCAGAAUCCAUUUGGGUCAAUGAAUUUACUGUUAUUAAGAUCUUAGUUGUGUUCAACCAUGAUUUGACAUACCUUAGAGUGAGAAGAUAUUCUUCCUGGCCUCAGACUAGUUGAAGGUAGAGAGAGAGACAGGCCCUUGGGUGUGGGGAGACCUCUCCUGGGAUAAUACACACAAAAAACCAAGAGCUGCUCACUGUGGUGCAGGAGACAGCAGGGCCUGAAGCCAGAGGCUCUGUGUCCUUGAAUACAAUGUUUUACUCCUCUGACCCCUGUUACUGUGAUUUGGAGAGGCAGACAAUAUAGGAUGGGCUUUGCAGGCAGGGAGGUCCAGUUAUAAUCCCAGCUCUUACUAAGUUGGGUAAGACUCACUCUGAGACUUAGUUUCUUCUGUCAUCUCUCAAUAGAAUCAUAAAGGUACUUUCCUCUUAGUGUUGUUUUAAAAUUCAGUAAAAUAAUGCAGGCUUAGCACAGGGUCUGAUGUAAAUUUUCAAUGAAUUAUCGUUGUCAAUAUUGUUCUGGAAAACAAGAGGGCAUAUUAGAAGAUCAAAAGUACUGCCAAGCAUUGAAGUGCCAAUUCUAGAUCCAGUCUCAGCCCUCUGAGAAUGGAUAUCAUUGUUUUCAAGCCAUUCAGAAACCAAUGUGAAUUGAACACCUAGUAUGAGCUCUCUGAGGGAAGAGCCAAGUCAUGCAUUUUUUAUCUUAAGGGGUCUUCAAUACCUCUAGCCCAAAACAGUAUCUCCAUCAGGAUUCUUCUCUGAUAGUGUUCAUUUCUUUUUUCUCAAUGGAUGCCUUAAAAAAAAAAUCCUACAAGGAAACCUGUACUCCUCAAAUACACCACUCAGGUGACCAUUAAAUCAUUUACAUUGUUAAUUUCUUUUCAGAUGUGUGUCUUUUUCCCUAGUUACAUCAUCAGGACCUUGAAGGUAGGGACAGGUCUUAGAUUUCUUGAUGCCCCCAUAAAUCUAGGUACAGAGUAGGUCUCUGGACAUCAGUAUAAGGCCCAUGAGCCUGAUAGCUGCCCAGGUGGGUGCUGUGUGCCUGGGCGUGGGAAGGACAAAAGAGAGGUCACUAAAGGGGUUCCUGGGAAGGAAGAGCCCCUCUGACUUUAAAAGGGAGCCCAUACACUUUUUGGACAACUGGAAUAAUCAGAAAGCUGUUUUUGGGGAGGCAGCAGCCAGAAAAACCUGGGGCAUUGGGUCAACCAAAGCCCUUCCCAAGGCUGCAGUGGCUGCAGCUAGUUAGCCCAGCUUCCCUACCAGCCCCAGGGCUGCAACUGAACAGUGUUGGCUUCUUAAUAAAAACAG